GUGAAAUGCGGGUGCUAUACAUGCAAGUCGAGCGGACAGAUGGGAGCUUGCUCCCUGAUGUUAGCGGCGGACGGGUGAGUAACACGUGGGUAACCUGCCUGUAAGACUGGGAUAACUCCGGGAAACCGGGGCUAAUACCGGAUGGUUGUCUGAACCGCAUGGUUCAGACAUAAAAGGUGGCUUCGGCUACCACUUACAGAUGGACCCGCGGCGCAUUAGCUAGUUGGUGAGGUAACGGCUCACCAAGGCGACGAUGCGUAGCCGACCUGAGAGGGUGAUCGGCCACACUGGGACUGAGACACGGCCCAGACUCCUACGGGAGGCAGCAGUAGGGAAUCUUCCGCAAUGGACGAAAGUCUGACGGAGCAACGCCGCGUGAGUGAUGAAGGUUUUCGGAUCGUAAAGCUCUGUUGUUAGGGAAGAACAAGUGCCGUUCAAAUAGGGCGGCACCUUGACGGUACCUAACCAGAAAGCCACGGCUAACUACGUGCCAGCAGCCGCGGUAAUACGUAGGUGGCAAGCGUUGUCCGGAAUUAUUGGGCGUAAAGGGCUCGCAGGCGGUUUCUUAAGUCUGAUGUGAAAGCCCCCGGCUCAACCGGGGAGGGUCAUUGGAAACUGGGGAACUUGAGUGCAGAAGAGGAGAGUGGAAUUCCACGUGUAGCGGUGAAAUGCGUAGAGAUGUGGAGGAACACCAGUGGCGAAGGCGACUCUCUGGUCUGUAACUGACGCUGAGGAGCGAAAGCGUGGGGAGCGAACAGGAUUAGAUACCCUGGUAGUCCACGCCGUAAACGAUGAGUGCUAAGUGUUAGGGGGUUUCCGCCCCUUAGUGCUGCAGCUAACGCAUUAAGCACUCCGCCUGGGGAGUACGGUCGCAAGACUGAAACUCAAGGAAUUGACAGGGGCCCGCACAAGCGGUGGAGCAUGUGGUUUAAUUCGAAGCAACGCGAGAACCUUACCAGGUCUUGACAUCCUCUGACAAUCCUAGAGAUAGGACGUCCCCUUCGGGGCAGAGUGACAGGUGGUGCAUGGUUGUCGUCAGCUCGUGUCGUGGAGAUGUUGGUUAAGUCCCGCAACGAGCGCAACCCUUGGACCCUA
rnacentral:rRNA from 1 species